UUUACGAGCCGAACACGGAGAUCUGAAGCAGGGGUCAAUGAAAAUCUGUAGAAUACCUUAAAUAUGUACACAUCUAUUUGUUUUUUAGCCUUAUCCAGUGUCAUCCAUGCAGAGCCAGAAAGGGUGAUACUAGAAUAUGAACUGGGAGACAAUUUACAAUAUCCAUUAUACUGCAAAGUGGGUGAUAUUAACAAGAACUAAUCAUGGCAAGAGUGAGUGGCAACAAAGGAUCUACUUUGAAGCUGUAUCAUUAUAUGAUUUAGAGCUCAUGGAAACGAAGUGAUGUACCGAUAUCUGCCGGUGAAUAUGUUUUUGAUAACAAAAAAUAUUCACUCGAUGAUAAGAGUCCGCCAGAAUAUAAUCUAAAGUUGAAGAAGAGCUUGUUGAAGAACGAUGCAGGAAAAUAUUCAUGCACAGAGGGGAGUAAAGAAAUCAAAAUCUAUAUCCUGAUAGCGAAAGGUUAUGUGUCAUAGUGUUUCACAUUAGUGCUCUUUAUUUAAAUUUCAUCAUGAUGCAGAACCACUGUCUAAGUGGAUCUUUAUUUUGUUUAAAAGGAUAUCCAAUUUCACGUGACUUUUAAUUUGAUUUGUUUUGAUUUCAUUGAAAAAAAGAGUCGGCAUCAAUUCCGAAACACAGUAAGUCUUCCAUAUCCAGCAUGUUAGGCGAUACAGUUAAUCUUUGGUGUAAUGCCACCGGGUAUCCAGAACCCACAGUCACCUGGUAUGCAGGGUCUGGGGAAAAGCUUGAAAGUAUAGGAAUCAGUGGAAACAUGCUUGGUAUACGUAAUAUAUCCCAAAGCUGUAACACUAUAUAUCAGUGUCAGGCAAUCAACAGUUACAGAAUGAAGAAACCCGUGGUGAAGAACUUCACACUCAGAGUUGAUUUUAUUCCUGACGUCUCUGUGGGUAUCAAAUUAAACGGUAAAGAAAUCUUAAAUGGUGGUUCCGUUCUGGGGAGAAAAAAAGACAGAGUGGUCCUGUCCUGUUCGAUAUAUGCCGUCCCUCCACCCAACGUGACGUGGUCCAGGGAUAACAUAACAAUAGGAACAUACCACCAUGUAAACGGUGCAAUUGAAAAAUCCAGUAAUACUGAUAAUUUCUUGUACGAAUUAAAAACGAAGGCGUUAGAGACCAAAAUAGGGAUUACUGUUACGCUGGACUUUACGUUGGAUGCUGAUUACACCUUUGCCAGUUACCACUGUGACGCAGAGAAUGAAGUAGGAUCUAACAGGAAAACUGUGAAAAUUAAUCAUGUUCAGAAGCGUUGAUAUAUAUACCACGAGCUCUUAAACAUAGCUUAAAUGAAACAGUGCUAAAAAGGAAUACAUGUUGAUAAUAUAACAAG
rnacentral:misc_RNA from 1 species